rnacentral:tmRNA from 1 species
GGGGCAUGAUUUGGUUUUGAUUGCUGAUUAUUUGGUAAGAGAACAUGCAGAGACUGAUGGAGAGACAUCAAAACAAUAACUGACAACACUUAUAGAGUUGCUGCCUAAAUUAGGCUAAGCAGCACUUGCUUUGAAACAGAAAGGUGCAAACAAAGGAUUUCUUGCAUAGAUUAAUGCAAGUGGUGGAUUGUGUUGAUUUCUGGUCAACCCCAGUGGAUAACUAACCACAUCAAAAAUAGUAAGCAUGUGUAAUUCUUUUAUUAAAGAUUGGUAAGACAAGGGUUCGAGUCCCUUAUGCUCCACC